GACGAACGCUGGCGGCGUGCCUAAUACAUGCAAGUCGAGCGGACGAAUCGAAAGCUUGCUUUUGAUUCGUUAGCGGCGGACGGGUGAGUAACACGUGGGCAACCUGCCCUGUAGACGGGGAUAACACCGAGACAUCGGUGCUAAUACCGGAUAACACGAAAUGUCGCAUGACGUUUCGUUUAAAGACGGCGCAAGCUGUCGCUACAGGAUGGGCCCGCGGCGCAUUAGCUAGUUGGUGGGGUAACGGCUCACCAAGGCGACGAUGCGUAGCCGACCUGAGAGGGUGAUCGGCCACACUGGGACUGAGACACGGCCCAGACUCCUACGGGAGGCAGCAGUAGGGAAUCUUCCGCAAUGGACGAAAGUCUGACGGAGCAACGCCGCGUGAGCGAAGAAGGCCUUCGGGUCGUAAAGCUCUGUUGUUAGGGAAGAACAAGUAACGCAGUAACUGGCGUUACCGUGACGGUACCUAACGAGAAAGCCACGGCUAACUACGUG
rnacentral:rRNA from 1 species